GGGGGAGGAGUCAGAAUCUGCAUUUGAACAAGAGCCUGGAGAGGUUUCCAGGCAGGAUAAGCAGCCCUAGCAGAGAUGCUUUGACUCUGGGUGCCUUGCUGACCCUAGAGGGUCUGUCCCUCCCAGGGCUGCCAAGUCCUGGAGGCAGUAAACUCGGUAAAGGCAGGAGCAUAACCUUCAUACACAAACUAACCAGCCCAGACAUGGACACCAUGUAUCCUCUAUCUGGCUCUCACACUCUGGACUGCUUUUCACCCACCCUGCUCACCCUGGCACCGGACAACCAGAGACAGCCCUCACACCCCAGAGACCUCUGAAAUGAUCCAAACCAGCCAGCCCCAGCCUGCUUACCUUGCUCCUCCUGUUCCUCCCCACAGAAACCACAACAAAGUUCUGAAGGCUGCACGUCUGGAAUUAAUGUGUCAUUGAGCCAUACCUGCUACAAAACAUCCAGGAGAGACUCUGUUCUUGCCUCUGCCAGCUUCUGGAAGCCCCAGAUGUUCCUUGGCUUGGACAGCACAACUCCAGUUUGCUUCAGCCUUCACAUGACCCUCUUCCCUCUGUGUCUUUGUUCGAAUCCCUCUCUUCUUAUGUGGACACCAGUCAUGUUGGAUUAAAAGCCCACGCCACUCCAGCACAACCUCAUCUUAACUACUGACAUCUGCAACAACCCCAUUCCCCAAUAAAGUCACGUUGUGAAGUAUGUGGGGGUUAUGUAUCUUUUGUGGGGAUGCAAUUCAAGCCAUAACACAUAGUAAGAAUCUUAUGGGAAACUCCUUGGAAGGCAUGGUCUGUGUCUUCCUCACCAUCUUUCACAGGCCAAUCCUGAUGCAGAAUUAAGAUCACAGGCUGCUGUAAUAAAUAGCAUUGUGGAAAUUGAAUGUUAGAGAAAAUCUGUUAAAUGAAUGAAAAUUAAUUUUUGAUGGUCACAGGCCUGAUCCAGGUAUUAG
ensembl:lncRNA